AUGCUGUUGGCCCAGUCACAUGGGGCAAGUUUUCUUUGUGCACAUUGGCUCUGGAUGCCCUUGGGGCUAACAGGAACACUAGAGCUUCUACCUACGAGAGGAGCAUUGCCCUCUCCCUCUGCUCCAUCAACUGGGUUUUGGGCAGCUGGCCCCCUACCCAUCAGAUUUAAGAAGCAGGGUGGCACGUGUCCUGACCCACAUUUCUUCUUGGUUCUUGUGGCUCAGUCAUGUGGGCCAAGUUUUCCUUGUGCAGUUUGGCUCUGGGUGCCCUUGAGGCCAACAGGAACACUAGAACUUCUCCCGGAACGAAGAGCGUGGCCCUCUCCCACUAUUCCAUCACCUCAAUUUUUGAUGGCUGGCCCGCUGCUGCUCAGACUUAGCGGGGAGCCUGGCAUUUGUCCUAACACUCCUUUCUUCUCCAUGCUGGUGGUUCGGUCACGUGGGGCAAGUUUUCUUCCUGCAGAUUGGCUGUGGGUGCCCUUGGGGCUAACAGGAACACUAGAACUUCUCCCGGAACGAAGAGCGUGGCACUCUCCCACUGCUCCAUCAGCAGGGUGUUGGACAUCUUGCCCCCUACCGAUCAGAUUUAAGAAGGAGACUGACACCUGUCCUGACCCACGUUUCUUCUUGGUGCUGGUGACUCGGUCACAUGGGGCAAGUUUACUUUGUGCAGAUUGGUUCUGGGUGCCCUUGAAGCUAACAGGAAAACUAGAGCUUCUACCAAUGGGAAGACUGUGGCCCUCUCUGACUCCAUCACCUGGGUUUUGGACGGCUGGUCCCCUGACAAUCAGAUGUAAGAAGGAGGCUGGCAUGUGUCCUGACCUGAGUUUCGGCUCCGUGCUGGUGACUUGGUCUCGUGGGGCAAGUUUUCUCCAUGCAGAUUGUGUCUGGGUGCCCUUGGGGCUAACAGGAACACUAGAACUUCUACCUGCACGAAGAGCGUUGCCCUCUCCCACUGUUCAAUCACCUGGGUUUUGGAAGGCUCUCCUCCUGCCGAUCAGAUAUAAGAAGCAGGCUGGCCCGUGUCCUGACCCAAGUUUCUUCGUCAUGCUGUUGGUCCGGUCACGUGGGGCAAGUUUUCUCUGUGCAGAUGAUCUAUGGGUGCCCUUGCAGCUAACAGGAACACUAGAGCUUCUACCUGGGCGAAGAGCGUGGCCCUCACACUCUGCUCCAUCAACUGGGUUUUGGACAGCUGGUGUCCUGCCCAUCAGAUUUAAGAAGCAGGCUGGCAUGUGUCCUGACCCAUGUUUCUUCUCGGUUCUCGUGAAUCAGUCACAUGGGCCAAGUUUUCUUUGGUGUUUCUCAGUCACAUGGGCCAAGAUUGGCUCUGGGUACCCUUGA
rnacentral:lncRNA from 1 species